ensembl:lncRNA
GGGGUCUUAAAGGAAUGGGGGGGGGCCUAAAAUAUGGGGGGGGUCCUAAAGGAUGGGGAGGGGUCCUAAAUUAUGGGGGGGGAGUCUUAAAAUAUGGGAGGGUCCUGAAUUAUGGGGGGGGGCACUGGGACCCCCCUUUGGAUCUCCAUAGAAUUGGGGACCCCCCCCAUAAUUGAAGAUAUCCCCCUUUGGAACCCUAUAGAAUUGGGGACCCCAAAGAUUUUGGGGUGAGGUGGGGGGGACGACCCUAAAAACUGUGGAAAUAACCCCAAAUGUUGGAAUAAAUGUUGAAUAUGGGAACAUGUUCCCCCAAAACCUCAAUGAAUGACCCCAAAAUCCCAUUAAUUAGCCCCAAAACCUCAAAGAAUGACCCUCAAAAACCCAAUGAAUGACCCCAAAAUCCCAUUGAUUGGCCCCAAAACCCCAAAGAUUGACCCCAAAACCCCAAUGAAUGACCCCAAAAUCCCAUCAAACAGCCCCAAAACCCGAAAGACCCCAAAGAAUAACCCCAAAACCCCAAAGAAUGACUCCAAUGACCCCAAAACCCCAUUGAAUCACCCCAAAAACCCAAUGAUUGACCUCAAAAAUGCAAUGAAUGACCCCAAAACCCCAUUGAAUGACCCCAAUGACACCAAAACCCCAUGAAACGACCCCAAAACCCCAUUGAAUGAACACAAUUAAUGACCCCAAAGAUCCCCGACCCCAUAAUGGCCUUUAAUUGCCCCAAAAUGGCCAUUUUUAACCCCAAAACGGCCUUUUAUUACCCCAAAAUUACCUUUUAUUGCCCCCAAAUGGCCUUUUAUUACCCCAAAAUGGCCUUUUUUUACCCCCAAACAGCCUUUUAUUACCCAAAAUGACCCUUUAUUACCCCAAAACAACCUUUUAUUGCCCCAAAAUGGCCUUUUUUUACCCCAAAAUGUCCUUUAAUUGCCCCAAAACAACCUGUUUUUAACCCAAAAUGGCCUUUAUUACCGCAAAAAUGGCCCUUUUUUUACCCCAAAACAGCCUUUAUUACCCCAUAACAACCUUUAAUUACCCCAAAAUGUCCUUUUAUUACCCCAAAAAGGCCCUUCAUUACCCCAAAAUGACCAUUUAUUACCCAAAACAGCCUUUUUUUACCCCAAAAUGGCUUUUAUCAUUACCCCAAAAUGGCCUUUUAUCACCCCAAAUGUCCAUUAAUUGCCCCAAAAUUGCCCUUUAUUACCCCAAAACGGCCCUUUAUUACCCCAAACUGACCAUUUAUUACCCAAAACAGCCCUUUUUUACCCCAAAAUGGCUUUUAUUAUUGCCCCAAAAUGGCCUUUUAUUACCCCAAAUCAACCCCAAAACAGCCUUUAUUUACCCCAAAACAACCUUUUAUUGCCCCAAAACUGCCUUUAUUGCCCCCAAACGACCCUUUAUUACCCCAAAAUGGCCCUUUUUUACCCCAAAAUGUCCAUUAAUUGCCCCCAAAUUGCCCUUUUUUACCCCAAAUGUCCAUUAAUUGCCCCAAAAUUGCCCUUUUUUACCCCAAACUGUCCUUUAAUUGCCCCAAAUUUGCCCUUUUUUACCCCAAAAAGGCCCAUUAUUACCCCAAAAUAACCAUUUAUUACCCAAAACAGCCUUUUUUUACCCCAAAAUGGCUUUUAUUAUUACCCCAAAAUGGCCUUUUAUUACCCCAAAUCAACCCCAAAACAGCCUUUAUUUACCCCAAAACAGCCUUUAUUUACCCCAAAACAACCUUUUAUUGCCCCAAAACAGCCUUUAUUGCCCCCAAACUGCCCUUUUAUUACCCCAAAAUUGCCCUUUUUUACCCCAAACUGUCCAUUAAUUGCCCCAAAAUGGCCCUUUUUUACCCCAAAUGUCCAUUAAUUGCCCCAAAAUGGCCCUUUUUUACCCCAAACUGUCCUUUAAUUGCCCCAAAAUUGCCCUUUUUUACCCCAAAAGGGCCCUUUAUUACCCCAAACUGACCAUUUAUUACCCAAAACAGCCUGUUUUUACCCCAAAAUGGCUUUUAUUAUUACCCCAAAACGGCCUUUUAUCACCCCAAAUCAACCCCAAAACAGCCUUUAUUUACCCCAAAACAACCUUUUAUUGCCCCAAAACAGCCAUUAUUGCCCCCAAACGACCCUUUAUUANAUUUACCCCAAAACAACCUUUUAUUGCCCCAAAACAGCCAUUAUUGCCCCCAAACGACCCUUUAUUACCCCAAAAUGGCCCUUUUUUACCCCAAACUGUCCAUUAAUUGCCCCAAAAUUGCCCUUUUUUACCCCAAAACGCCCCAUUUCCCCCCAUUCCCGCGGGGGUCCUCAGCCCCCCCCCACUCCUUUAAGGGGUUUCGGGGGGGGGCGUCACACUGCGGGUAUAGGGGGGUAAUUAACGAACCUCGUUAAUUAGGGGCUCUAAUGGGGUAAUUAAUGAGCCCCAUUAAUUAGGGGCUCUAAUGGGGUAAUUAACGAGCACUGUUAAUUAGGGGCUCUAAUGGUGUAAUUAAAGAGCACUGC